CGCAGGGCAGGGCAGGGGCACCAGAAAAGACCCUCCCCGCUCCCUUGGAUGUAAGGCCGGGCCAGGUUUUGGUUGAAGGUUACAUUGCUCCUGGGUCAGAGAACUAUAACAUCAAAGCGCCUUUAUUACUGGAAACUGAGGACACUCAAGCCCUAAGGCGGUGGUUCUCAGUGUGGUCCCUGGACCAGCAGUGUCUGCAACGUCUGAUAAUUCAUUAGAAAUGCAUUUUCUUACAUCCCACUCCAGACUUAUUGAAUCAAACAUUCUGGGGAUGGGGCCCAACAAUCUGUUUUAACAAGCCCUCCAGGGGAUUCCGUUGCUCACUAAAGUUUGAGAACUACUGUCGCUAGCUGAUAGCAGAGCCACAAGAGAGAACUCUGAGUUCCUGAAUCACCACAUAGAAGACAGCCAUAUACCACCCAGAAAGAUCUGCCUCAGACUUUUCUAUAAAAUAGAAAUAAAAUUUGGUUGUGUUAAGACCCUGAAACUUGAGGGUAUAUUUGUUGCAGCAGGCAACAUUAAUACAGGCUGGAAGUCCAAACCUCUCCCAAACACAAUCGCAAUAUGGGGGGAGUGCUGAAUAUCACUGGACUCCUGACACUUAAGAGGGCGUACAGAAGUGUCUUAAUAUAGCUACAGUUAGUGGUGGCAACAGUGGGAAUCGAAGAUCAGAAUGUAGAGGCCACAAUGGUGGAUCAUGCUGCUCAAACUAGCAGGCCUCAAGCAUCACCAGGAAGAGUAAGAGACAUGGCUAAUGCUGAAUGUAUGUAUCUCCCUGGGAUCCUCUGCCAGUCUCACAUGAAUGAUUUUCACAGGAAACAAGGCAGACGCCAAGGGCCAUCUGCCAAUUGUCAGCUGACUAUCCAGCGAUAUAACCACUGCUACUGGCAGACCAGGACAAGGUCCAGGAAUUUUCCAGUGCCCAUGAAUCUACCAACACCUGGGUUUGAAACAGCUACUAUCAUGCUACGGGCCUCACUAGAUUAGCUUCAGAAACACCUGCAAGAAUGCAGGGCCUGGUAGGCAGAAUUUUCAGAUGACCCCCGCUCCCAGUGACUCUUGCCUUUGUCUAAUCCCCUCUCCUCUGAGAACCUCUGAAUAUGAUGAAAUAUCACUCCCAUUAUCAUGUUACAUUAUGUGGCAAAAGUGAGAUCAUCGUGGAUGGGCUUGACCUUAUUAUGUGAGCCCUGUAAAAGCCGAGAGUUUUCUCUGGCUAGUGGCAGAAGAGGAAGGCAGAGUGACAUGUUCCAGGAGGCCUAGAAGAAAGCAAGCAACCUUGUGGGCUGCCUAUGGGGGCCACAUGACAAGGAACUACAAGUAGCCUCUGGAAGCUGAAAGCAGUCCCCAGCCAAUAGCUUUCCAGAAGAUGGAGCCCCAGCCCUACAACCCCAAGGAACUGAAUUCUGCCAAUAACCAGUGAGCUUGGAAGAGGAUCCCAAGCCUCAGAUGAGAACCACAGCCCCAACCAACACCUUGAUGUCGGCCCAAUGAGACCUUGAGCAGAAAAUCCAGUGACAUCGUGCCAGGACUUCAGAUCUACAGAACUGCACACAGCCAUGUGAAGACAUAGCAAGAAGGCAGCUAUCUACAAGCCAGGAAGAGAGGCUUCACCCUAAACCACCCCUGCCAGCACUUUCAUCUUGGACUUCCAGCCUCCAGAACUGUGUCUUCUAGAGAAACCCAAGCUAAGACAGAGACUAAAGGACAAGGAAUAUGACCAAGGUCACACUGCUGUUCAACGCCAAAGCUGGGUCUAUGUGCUGACUCCUGACUCCUCCUGCCAACAGCUCAUUCUACUGCCCAGCACAGAGAACUUUCAUGGUAAUCCCAGGCCCAGGUUUGCAUGACAGCGUUUCCCUGUGGGAUCCAAAGAAAGAGGCCCCCUCACCCUUAGUGAGGGGCUGGGCCAAGACUGCAAUGUGGGUGCCAGAACUAGGACCCCUUUCUUUUCCUUCACCACUGUGCUUCAUCCAAUUACUGGGUCCUUGCAUUAGCACUGCCCAGCCCUGGGGCAUUACUUCUAAACCAUUUCUCACUACCUCUCUUUGGAGCCCCAAACUUUCACCUCCCAAUACAGACAA